ACCAAGCACCAUUUCCAACUCACUCGAGUAACGAUGUAGGUUAGGUUCCCAGCGGUAUAUGUCGCAAAAAUCAACAUUCUCGCGAAGCCGGAGUUCGCAAAAAGUAUAGAACCGGUUUGCCUCGUAAAUGGCACAUGAGCGUGUGAACGAGAGAUAAAAAGAGAAAUAAGCUAAGAAAACAAAAGAGAGAGAGAGAGAGAAAGAGAGAGAUGCUUAGAAACCAAGUAGUUGGAUAAAUAUUGUUGUCGUUGUCAUGCAUUUUUUUAAUUGCAUCUUUGUUUUUUUCUUCCAUAAGGAAAAAAGAAAAAGAAAACAAAUAAAAAGAAACGAAUAGUAAAUAGAUAAAAGUGCUUGUAAUAUUAUCUCACAGUAGUAUUGGUUAUUAUUACACGAAAAGAUACGCUUUUAUCGCGUGUAUUAUAAUCGGUAUCGUUCGGAAAGUAUUCGUCGGUGGCGCUGACAUCGGCCAGAUAAUACAUUUUAAAAUAGAAGUCGUUGAAAUUACAAUAAAAAGAAAAGUAAUAAAAAAGAAAAGAUUCUUGAGCAAAGCUGAAAACGAUACCGCAGGACGUCGUCAUCACGUUAACCGAUAUAAUAAUCGCACAAUCGUGCACGUUUCGUCGUAAUCGUACCGCGUUGUCUACGCUUUUCGCAUAAUAUUACACGGCGAGUAAACGCGACUGCCGCUGCUACCGCGCUCGCGCGCACGUGACGUCACUUUCUGCGUCGGCAACGUUGGCGGUAACGUCGGCGGAAACGUAAGUUUUGUAAAGAAACACGCGGUACCCGAUGGUCGCUCGCGUAAUGGCUGCUUGCUUGACCAAGGUCAACGUUCUCUUCGUCAAUCGGACGAAAUUUGUCACGCGCGUCGAAGGGAACUCGUAGUAUUGUUCUUGCAUCCAAGUUUAUCUUUAUUCGAAUACCAAAUUAAAAUUCAACAUUAUUUUGUUUUAUAAUUUAUAAUGAUCAUUUUUCUUUUAAAAAUACCUAUACGAAGUUACGAAGCUACGAUCCUGCCAAAUUGACAAAAAAAGAAAAGAGAAAAAGUUGUUUAUUCAAAGAUAUAGUAAAUGAUCGUUUUCUUUCUGUUUAAUUUUUUACAUAACGACAUCCCGCACGCGUCCCUGCAGCGUAACGCUGAUGUCAGCGGUACUCGGUGUCGCGCCAGUCAACAACAACGCGACGAUGAAGGAAUUCCUUCUGUUAUAAACGAAGAAAGUGGGAACGAAACGAAACGAAACGAAACGAAACGAAACGAAGCGAAGCGCCGAGGGCUGCCGACUAUGCCCGAUCGAGACGACGGUGCGAAGGGACGCGAAGGGGCACGACGCGAUGCGACGCGACGCCGUCUUCUCGCGAGACCACGGCAACGCUGCGCAACGUUCCUCUCUUUUCUAGGUUCAAGGGUACGGAACGGAGAUCUCUUGUCUUCUUCUUCUUCUUCGUCUUCCUACCAUCUAUCUAUGUGUAUAUGUGGAGAGAAAACAAUCGGGGGAGUCCGAGGAACGUUGGGGUGCCGAGUCAGUCCGCUUUUAUCCAACGGGAAACAUCUCGAACGUGCUUACACUUACGUGCAUUCCUCCAUUCCUUUUUUAUUUCCUUUCGUUUAAAAGAAAAUUUACGUUUGGCAAAAGAAUGGAGUCCGUCAAAUGAAAUAUGACAUAGGAUUAUGUUAAAUUGAAAUUGAACAGUAGAAGAUUACAGUAGUCUUCUUGAUGUAACGCAUAGAAUAUUUGUAUGGAAAGAGGCAAUGCGGAGGAAAAUGCAAAAAUGCACGUGGAACCCUAGUCCCAGGAAAGAGAGAAAGAGAGGUAAAUGCGUUCCGUUGGAUCCUUUAUUGCGUCUCAAAGAGCACAGAGUUUGGAAUUGAAAGGAAGGGGUCCCCUGAAAUCUUGAAGACGGUAGACAACAUCUGUCCCUUUUCCGCACUCGCAUAGAGAAAAGAGAGGGCUCACGCGUGACCCUUCCCCCUUUUUUUCUCAAAGGAACCCAAAAAGUGGGCUUUCAUUGUGAUCGACGAAGUAAAACAGGAAGCGCGAUGACUGACAUCUGCUUUACGUCACGUACUAUUUCUUAAGAAGGAAGCCUAAGAGACUGCGCCAUGACAAAAUUAUUUUUAAAUACUAUCAUCCAAAGAAAGAGAAAAAACUUAAAGGAGAUUUUUUUCUAAUUAAAACAAAUCUAUUUAUAGUUUUAACCUAAUUUAGAAAAUAAUUAUGUCAUUCAGUGAUCGAUCGCUCAAUCAAUCAGUCAAUCAAUUAAUCACCAAGUAUAAUAAACUGGUUAAGGUAUUUAAAAA
rnacentral:lncRNA from 1 species